rnacentral:rRNA from 1 species
CUACGGGGGGCUGCAGUGGGGAAUAUUGCAAAAUGGAGGAAACUCUGAUGCAGCAACGCCGCGUGGAGGAUGACACUUUUCGGAGCGUAAACUCCUUUUAUAUAGGAAGAAGAUGACGGUACUAUAUGAAUAAGCGCCGGCUAACUCCGUGCCAGCAGCCGCGGUAAUACGGAGGGCGCAAGCGUUACUCGGAAUCACUGGGCGUAAAGAGCGUGUAGGCGGAUUAAAAAGUCAGAAGUGAAAUCCUAUAGCUUAACUAUAGAACUGCUUCUGAAACUCUUAAUCUAGAAUAUGGGAGAGGUAGAUGGAAUCUCUGGUGUAGGGGUAAAAUCCGUAGAGAUCAGAAGGAAUACCGAUUGCGAAGGCGAUCUACUAGAACAUUAUUGACGCUGAGACGCGAAAGCGUGGGGAGCAAACAGGAUUAGAUACCCUAGUAGUC